rnacentral:rRNA from 1 species
GGAUCAGAUUGUCGGCCGUGCCUCGGUACGCACUGGCAUUAUUGGUUCCUACCUUCUGAAGAACCGCGAUGUCAUUAAUUUGGAUGCUUUGGGGAACCAGGACUUUUACUUUGAAAAAAUUAGAGUGUUUAAAGCAGGCUCACGCUUGAAUACAUUAGCAUGGAAUAAUGAAAUAGGACGUUUGAUUCUAUUUUGUUGGUUUCUAGGAUCGACGUA